rnacentral:rRNA from 1 species
UGGGGAAUAUUGGACAAUGGGGGGAACCCUGAUCCAGCCAUGCCGCGUGUGUGAAGAAGGCCUUAUGGUUGUAAAGCACUUUAAGCGAGGAGGAGGGUACUGGUAUUAAUACUACCAGGUACUGGACGUUACUCGCAGAAUAAGCACCGGCUAACUCUGUG